rnacentral:rRNA from 2 species
UACGGAGGGUGCAAGCGUUAUCCGGAUUCACUGGGUUUAAAGGGUGCGUAGGUGGGCAGGUAAGUCAGUGGUGAAAUCUCCGGGCUUAACUCGGAAACUGCCAUUGAUACUAUCUGUCUUGAAUACCGUGGAGGUCAGCGGAAUAUGUCAUGUAGCGGUGAAAUGCUUAGAUAUGACAUAGAACACCAAUUGCGAAGGCAGCUGGCUACACGAAUAUUGACACUGAUGCACGAAAGCGUGGGGAUCAAACAGG